rnacentral:rRNA from 1 species
UUGAACGCUGGCGGCAUGCCUUACACAUGCCAGUCGCACGGUAACAGGUCUUCGGAUGCUGACGAGUGGCGAACGGGUGAGUAAUACAUCGGAACGUGCCCAGACGUGGGGGAUAACGAGGCGAAAGCUUUGCUAAUACCGCAUACGAUCUAAGGAUGAAAGCAGGGGACCGCAAGGCCUUGCGCGUUUGGAGCGGCCGAUGGCAGAUUAGGUAGUUGGUGGGAUAAAAGCUUACCAAGCCGACGAUCUGUAGCUGGUCUGAGAGGACGACCAGCCACACUGGGACUGAGACACGGCCCAGACUCCUACGGGAGGCAGCAGUGGGGAAUUUUGGACAAUGGGCGAAAGCCUGAUCCAGCAAUGCCGCGUGCAGGAUGAAGGCCUUCGGGUUGUAAACUGCUUUUGUACGGAACGAAAAGGCUCUGGCUAAUACCUGGGGCACAUGACGGUACCGUAAGAAUAAGCACCGGCUAACUACGUG